UACAGAGGUGGCAAGCGUUGUUCGGAAUUACUGGGCGUAAAGGGCGCGUAGGCGGCCCUCUAAGUCAGACGUGAAAUCCCCCGGCUUAGCCUGGGAACUGCGUCUGAUACUGGAGGGCUUGAGUAUGGGAGAGGGAUGUAGAAUUCCAGGUGUAGCGGUGAAAUGCGUAGAUAUCUGGAGGAAUACCGGUGGCGAAGGCGGCAUCCUGGACCAUUACUGACGCUGAGGCGCGAAAGCUAGGGGAGCAAACGGG
rnacentral:rRNA from 1 species